rnacentral:lncRNA from 1 species
CUUUAAACAGAAGAAAUAGAUUGGCUUGUAUAUAUUGGUUUCUUUGUCAUAUAGUUCAAUUGCUGUUGCUUGUAAAUGUUUUAUAAACCAGUACUGCGAUGUAGCGAAAUUUCGGGCCGUCUUUCACAACAAAUAACAUCACAAUAACUGCACAUCUUUUUCUCUUUAAUACAGAAUCGUUUUCCCCGUCCAUUGAGUUAUAAUUUGCAAAACUAACCAGUCGCUAUAACGUAAAAUAAGCGGGUAUUUGUGAACAAAAAUGCCCUUUGAUAUGACACGAGGUAACCGGCGCCAUCUUGUCUUCUCCAAACAUUACAGAUUUUCCCGCCAAAACCCGCCACCGAAGUCCCGUAUGUAAAUGACGUCAAAAGUGUUGUGAACGGG